rnacentral:misc_RNA from 1 species
GAUGAAGAACGCAGCGAAAUGCGAUAAGUAGUGUGAAUUGCAGAAUUCAGUGAAUCAUCGAAUCUUUGAACGCACAUUGCGCCCUUUGGUAUUCCUUAGGGCAUGCCUGUUCGAGCGUCAUUACAACCCUCAGGCCCCCGGGCCUGGCGUUGGGGAUCGGCGGAAGCCCCCUGUGGGCACACGCCGUCCCUCAAAUACAGUGGCGGUCCCGCCGCAGCUUCCAUUGCGUAGUAGCUAACACCUCGCAACUGGAGAGCGGCGCGGCCAUGCCGUAAAACACCCAACUUCUGAAUGUUGACCUCGAAUCAGGUAGGAAUACCCGCUGAACUUAAGCAUAUCAAUAAGCGGAGGA